GAAAAGGGAUCUUUUUCUCUCGAAAUUCUUUCUCUCCUCAUCUCUCUCGCGCGACAGCGGCGGCUCGGGCGGAAAACACUUCGAGGCGACGGCGCUAGGGUUCCUCUCCGGUGCCGGCGAAAGGAUUCUCUCGGCCGGUCUUCACCCGUACGUGGUCACCGUGACGAAGGGAGCUCGGGAACUCAAGGGAGCCGCCGAGAUCUUCAAGCUUCACCCGAAACCCUAGAAUUUGCUCUCCUCCGGUUGUAAGUUCAAAACAGCGAGAUAAAGAAAAAGGAAAACUAAUAUGAAGGAAGGCGACAAGGAGAUGCAAGAGGGGUGUGUGAUGUUUGCACUAUCGGAGUCCUAGGGAUCCUUGCAAAUAAGAUGAAUUAUGAUUUGUUCUUUGAGUUAAUUAAGUUUUUAUGUGUUAAGGAAAUUUGAUAACUGUUUAUAAGGACAUUUGAUACUGUGUUUGCUAUUCAGUUGUGGUUGUGGAUUA